rnacentral:misc_RNA from 1 species
AAGCAUAUCAAUAAGCGGAGGAAAAGAAACCAACAGGGAUUGCCCCAGUAACGGCGAGUGAAGCGGCAACAGCUCAAAUUUGAAAUCUGGUCCCUAGGGCCCGAGUUGUAAUUUGUAGAGGAUGCUUUUGGUGAGGUGCCGCCCGAGUUCCCUGGAACGGGACGCCACAGAGGGUGAGAGCCCCGUCUGGCUGGCCGCCGAGCCUCUGUAAAGCUCCUUCGACGAGUCGAGUAGUUUGGGAAUGCUGCUCAAAAUGGGAGGUAUAUGUCUUCUAAAGCUAAAUAUUGGCCAGAGACCGAUAGCGCACAAGUAGAGUGAUCGAAAGAUGAAAAGCACCUUGAAAAGAGGGUUAAAUAGUACGUGAAAUUGUUGAAAGGGAAGCGCUUGUGACCAGACUUGGGCGCGGCGGAUCAUCCGGGGUUCUCUCCGGUGCACUUCGCCGCGUCUAGGCCAGCAUCAGUUCGUCGCGGGGGAAAAAGGCUUCGGGAACGUGGCUCCUCCGGGAGUGUUAUAGCCCGUUGCAUAAUACCCUGCGGUGGACUGAGGACCGCG